rfam:Valsa mali strain 03-8 chromosome 8, whole genome shotgun sequence.
GGGCUGUUGGCGCAAUGGUAGCGCUUCAGCUUCCGAUUGUCUCAAUUGUUGCUGGAGGUUCUAGGUUCGAGCCCUAGGCAGCUCG